rnacentral:rRNA from 1 species
UACAGAGGGUGCGAGCGUUAAUCGGAAUUACUGGGCGUAAAGCGUGCGCAGGCGGUUCGCCAAGUCAGGUGUGAAAUCCCCGGGCUUAACCUGGGAAUUGCGCUUGAAACUAGCGGGCUUGAGUGUGGCAGAGGGGGGUGGAAUUCCACGUGUAGCAGUGAAAUGCGCAGAUAUCAGGGAGGAACGACCGGUGGCGGAAGGCGGGUCUCUGGGCCGAGUGACAUGACGCUGGAGGAAGCGAAAGCGUGGGGAGCAAACAGG